CCUACGGGUGGCAGCAGUGGGGAAUAUUGAACAAUGGGCGAAAGCCUGAUCCAGCCAUGCCGCGUGUGUGAAGAAGGCCUUCGGGUUGUAAAGCACUUUCAGUGGGGAAGAAAGCCUUGGGGCUAAUACCCUCGAGGAAGGACAUCACCCACAGAAGAAGCACCGGCUAACUCCGUGCCAGCAGCCGCGGUAAUACGGAGGGUGCGAGCGUUAAUCGGAAUUACUGGGCGUAAAGCGCGCGUAGGCGGUCUGAUAAGCCGGUUGUGAAAGCCCCGGGCUCAACCUGGGAACGGCAUCCGGAACUGUCAGGCUAGAGUGCAGGAGAGGAAGGUAGAAUUCCCGGUGUAGCGGUGAAAUGCGUAGAGAUCGGGAGGAAUACCAGUGGCGAAGGCGGUCUUCUGGACUGACACUGACGCUGAGGUGCGAAAGCGUGGGUAGCAAACAGGAUUAGAUACCCCUGUAGUC
rnacentral:rRNA from 1 species